ACGGGAGGCAGCAGUGAGGAAUAUUGGUCAAUGGGCGGAAGCCUGAACCAGCCAAGUCGCGUGAAGGAUGAAGGUAUUAUGUAUUGUAAACUUCUUUAGACGUAGAGAAAUAAGGUGCUCGUGAGCACUGAUGCUAGUAUACGUAGAAUAAGGAUCGGCUAACUCCGUGCCAGCAGCCGCGGUAAUACGGAGGAUCCGAGCGUUAUCCGGAUUUAUUGGGUUUAAAGGGUGCGCAGGCGGGCUGUUAAGUCAGCGGUGAAAUCUCCGGGCUCAACUCGGAAACUGCCGUUGAUACUGGCGGCCUUGAGUCAUGUCGAGGAUGGCGGAAUGCAGCGUGUAGCGGUGAAAUGCUUAGAUAUGCUGCAGAACUCCGAUUGCGAAGGCAGCUGUCCAGAGAUGUACUGACGCUCAGGCACGAAAGCAUGGGUAUCAAACAGGAUUAGAUACCCUGGUA
rnacentral:rRNA from 1 species